rnacentral:lncRNA from 1 species
CUCCCUUCCGCCCCCGCGGGCUUGCAUUUGCGUCCGGCUGGAGACCGCGCGGGAGCCCGCCCCCGCGCCCCGCUGAUUGGCCGUGCCGGCCCGCUCGUCACACUCUUUUGUCUCAGUGGGCAGAGGAUAAAAGCCGCGGCGGCUGCCGUGGGAACCGCGCUGUCUGGACUCGACUACCCCUCGCUGGGAGGCGGUGCAGCCGCUCGGCUGGCAGCUCCCGGUCGCUGGGCGGCUGAGGCCGAGCCCGUCCCUCCUCCCCCUGCGGGGCUGCGGAGACGGGAAGGCGGUUGGCAAGGCCGGAACACAGGCCAUCAAAGCCGAAUCCGAACUUGAAUUCUGCGCGGCGGAUUGCAGACCUGUCUGGACGCUCCGAGGUCCCGGAUCUGCGACGCCCGGUGGACGGAGAUCGCCCGGAGCCCGGAGACGAGCGCUCCCACGGAGGCCACCAGUUGCAGAAGCUGGGAGUGAAAUAAAGGCGCGCGCGCCUGUUCCUGCGCUCCCCCCCUGCUGAGACAGGAGGAAGGCAGACCCCCCCUCCUCCCCGAGCACCUGCAGAUCAGGCUUUUCCACAAAGCCUGAGCAUCUCGUUAUACUCGGUCCCGCCGGCCCU